rnacentral:rRNA from 1 species
AUGGUAGCGUUCAGGGAUACGCUGGAGGUGUGUGAAUUAGUAGAUCUUGGGUUCACUGGCCUUCCUUUCAUGUAUGAUAACAGAAGAGGGAGGUCGGCAAAUGUCAAGGUGAGACUUGACCGAGCAGUGGCUACAAAUGAUUGGCGAAAUUUGUUCGCUUUUGCUGCAGUUGAGCAUAUACCGUCCCCAUGUUCCGAUCACCUCGUGGUCUUCCUUAAAGGGGAACCGGACCCGGGACCGGUGAGAGAAAGAUGCCGCAGGUACGAGGUAUUUUGGGAGAGAGAUUCGGCGCUGCCAAAAGUGGUGAAAGAAGCAUGGACAGUAGUAGGGGAGAUACAUAACCUAGCGCAAUUGAGAGAGGCCCUGUCAAAAACAAUGACUGCGCUAGGUUCAUGGAGC